CCCCAGGUAGCUUAAUGGUAAAGCACCUGACCGGCAAUUGGGAAAUCGGGGUUCAAUUCCUGGCCCAGGCU
rnacentral:tRNA from 1 species